UACGGAGGGGGCUAGCGUUGUUCGGAAUUACUGGGCGUAAAGCGCACGUAGGCGGAACAGAAAGUCAGAGGUGAAAUCCCAGGGCUCAACCUUGGAACUGCCUUUGAAACUCCUGUUCUUGAGGUCGAGAGAGGUGAGUGGAAUUCCGAGUGUAGAGGUGAAAUUCGUAGAUAUUCGGAGGAACACCAGUGGCGAAGGCGGCUCACUGGCUCGAUACUGACGAUGAGGUGCGAAAGCGUGGGGAGCAAACAGG
rnacentral:rRNA from 1 species